rnacentral:lncRNA from 1 species
AGUAUAUAUAUUUCCAUAUAUCACAUAUACACAUUAUUUCUAGUAUAUAUAUUUCCAUAUAUCUUUUUUACAAAAGUUAAAUUUCAUUUUAUGAGUGUAGUCUUUUUUAUUACAGGCUUCUCUAGUGUGUAUGUUUUAAUCAAUAUAUGCUCAUUUCUACUAGAAAAACAGCUUCAGAAACCUGUUUCCAUUUAAACAGUAGAUGUCUGAAAAAUACUGUCUGCAGGGGAAAGAUGACACUUUCAUUAGUUUUGGCCUGUCAUCCACCUUCUGCCAUUUUUUAGAAUCCUUUUGUCCAGCAUGCUGAGGCUCUGGGGCCCUCAGAUUAUUCUCUAGAGUAAUUCCUCUAUAGCUUUUCUCUUGAGAUCUAUCUUCAGUCUCAUGACAGAGAGAGCUCCCGAAAUACUGGUUUUCUCCAAUGGCAUUUCUUACACUGCCAAGCAUAGUGUUCUUCCUGAGGGCAUUUGAAUGUUUGUGUGUGUUUAUGGAGAGGACUAGUAAUGCAUUUAUUACUAUAAUAACAAAAUUACUUAAUAGAUCAAUAGUUCAUUGAUCAAUAUAAAAUUUUCUUUGAAGUUUAAUAACUGGUUUUGGUGAAUAUGUAUAUAUUUAUAAGGCUUUAUAAUACUCCUCCCCAAUCUCAGGUUUCCUGUCAUUGGCAUUUUAAUAUAUCUGGCUUUAUUUCUAAAUAUCUUUUUGGCAGCUAUAAGAUUCUCAGUUUUAAUAUGUACUAAUGAUAAUUGGAAAAAAAGGGGAUUUGGAGAUUUAGAAGAGAAAAAGAAAGUUCGUGUCCGACAGAGUGAAUGUAAGGUUUUUGUAGUGAAGUCUUGGAAAAGAAGAUGCUGAAAGGAGGGAACAGAGACCCAAGCCUUGAGACCUGUGAUCUUGCAGCUGCUAAAAGAGAGGGAGCCAAGCUGUGUUCUCAGGUUGCCUCAGUGAGAACUAAUGACAGGCAGGGUCCACUAUUGUCAGUUAUCAAAUCCAGAAAGCACUGAACUUUGCACGGAGAAGGAGGAACAGAAAGAAGAGGGUGUUAUAUUCAAUGAAACUAAAUUAAUUGCAAACAUAUAAUUAAAAUGUGGCAAAAAAUCCUGAUAAUUUCUGGAAGUACAAAGAACGACAAAUGGAAGUUUACUGUGCAGUCCCCUUUGUUCCUGUUUUAAGGUGUGCACCAAGUGAUUCAGUUGGAUGGUGGUAUUUUAGAGAAUAGAAAAGUGCACAUGAAGGCCUUUAUAACUUCAUUUGUGAUCUUUUGCUUUCUCCUCACCUCUAUAUCACCUCUACAUUCAUUUUUCAACUGCCAAUUUUCUGCCACAGAAAUUCUCAGGACCCCAACUCUUAGGUCUGAGAAUAAGUAAUUAGUAAUUUAGUAGUCACAAAAGUAAAAAUGGAUCACAUUCUAAAUAUUCAGCUAAAAGCCAGCUAAAUGUUUGGAAUUAAGAAGCAUAGCUAUAAAUAAGAUGGCAAAUCAAGUCCCUGGUCAGACUUGAAAUGCUCAUUCAACAUCCAUCGAGCAAAUAGUCUAAGUUUUUUUUUAUUUGGAAUCAGAAGGAAGAGGAAGAGAAAAAUGGUUUCCUUUCCUGAUCCUGUCACAGGUUUUUAGGAAAAUUUUGAAAUAGAAGUUCUUUCAAAUAUCCUCCCACCUUCUUUCUGUGCUCUUCUCCCAUCUCCUAAUAGUGCUCAUCCCAGGUGCCCUGAUCUUAACACGCCCAUGCUGCCUUGUGCUCCUCACCAGGGCAUUCUCCUGAGGGAUAUCUCACUGUCCCACGGAGAGCCACAAAGGGCAGUCCAGAACUGGCUUCCUUCUUUUCCAUACCCUUUCACAAAACUUACCUUACAUUUGCAGGGCAGUGUGAGUGGACGCUACAGGCUCAACUCUUUUAGAAGGGUUUGUGUUCUGAAAAUAAGAGGUUUGAUAACUCAAAUGCCUAUCUAUGUAGUGGAAGCUUAUAUCAAUAAAUGGGAGAAUAUACACAAAGCACUGAGCUCAGUGCCAGGAACUUUCUAAAUGUUAAUUCUCAUCCAAUUCCUAAUGUAACAAAGUGAAAAUUUUAAAAAAAUUGAAAAAAAUUGCAGUGUGGGGAAGAUAUUAUGAUGCAUGGUGUGUCUGCAUGUGUCGUAUUUUAGACCUCGAGAGGAACGUAGGAUCAGGGUGGAAAACAUGGCUGUGUGUGGGAGAAGGUGGGGCUCACGGAAUUUAAAUAUAGUAGUUGUAGAUUUCUUAACAAGGUGGCAUUCAUAUCUUUCUUUGUUUCUGUUUUUCUUGAAGAAGUAGAAUCAUGCAUUACACAACUAUUUUCAUGUUUCUGAAAAAAUGUUUAUUUGUUUUUCUUUUGGAACAUGAUGUUAGAAUGUUAGUUGGGGGUUCUGGAGCCCUAAUAUUCUUCAACAUUUUACCUACUCCUUGAAGUGUACUAUAAGCUUUAAACUUCUUGCCACUCUUGUUGGAAUCCACAGAAGUUUAAAUUCCAUACUCUUUGGCAGUCUUUCAUACGUUUAAGUGGAGAUGGAGGAAGUCAUUUUUAUGAGUUACACUUAAGUUGGAAAUGUCUUAUAUGUUUUGCUUUAUGGUUUUGCUUGUUUCCUUAUGAACAUUUAAAAAUCUCCGAGUAUCCAGGAAGAGUGUAAUAUGUAAAGUUAGAUCAAUUUAUAAAAAAAUAUGUGAAUGGAGGGGAAGCAGUGAUGCACAUAUUUCACACUAUGCACUGUAUAUGAAGGACUGUUUUUUUCUUUUGGUGCUCCAUUCUACUUUUUGAUUUCUUUAGAGGCUACUCCACUGUCUCUGGAUAAGUUGCAUUUUCUUCUGUGCAAGUUUCUUUUGUGGAUCUUAAGAUGCUUUAAAUGUAUUAUUAAUAAGUAGCACAAUUCAAUAUUUAUGUGUCUUCCACAUUAUACAAGUCAGAGUGCAUAUUCUUUUGUAUUUUCCGUUUUAUAGGAAACAAUUUUAAUUUUUCCACUUCACUUAUCCCUUCUCAAUUGCCCGUUGAGGGUUUGGCCAUUCUAUUAAGUUUCAUUCAAUUUUCUAUUAUAAAUUUCACUUUUCUUCCAAAACCCUUCCUCCAAAGUCUGUCACUUCUCAUGUUAUUGCUCCUUCCACAGACACUCAUCAAUAUUUGAAAGCUGCUAUAUUAUGAAUUUUGGCUGCCUGAGCUCUCCGGCUUAGAUAGCGCAUCUGGUCCAUUUCUAUAUAAUUGCAUUUGACCCUUCUGACUUUUCAACAUCUGGGUGAGGAGAAAUCUUGUAUUCGUUUCAUAAAAACUGCUUUACUUUGUUUUUUCUCGUUAAUAAUGAGAUACUACAUAGUCAUUUCUUGAAAACUUUUAAAUGAAGAAGCAUUUUUUAGAAGGCUGGGUGAUUUUUUGAUAGCACAUAGAAUGAACACCUGGAAGUUAAUCUGGUUAAAUUUAGCCAGUUGUUCAGCAGAUCAAUAUCUGGUCUUUAUCCUUUGGUGGUAAUGGCGAUGGUGGGGGAGAAUCCUACUUUUUGUUCCUUAUUAUAUAAGCUACAUUAAUUCCCGAACAGCAAUCUUGUUUUUUUCUGAAAGAUUUUAAAAUAGUUAUUAAUAGAUGUUCAUUAUAGUAAUAGUAGGGAACAGAGGAAAACAAAACUAAAAAAAGGGAAAGUACCGUUUUCCUUUCCAAAUAAUAGUUAUUAAAAUUUUGGAGUAUAAUCUCCUAAAAUUUUAUAGGCAUAUCUAAAUAUUUUUCUUUAAAAUAUUAAAUCAUAUCGUAAAGAACAAUCUUUUGAAAUUCCGAAGUCUGUCACUAUUUGAAUUUGUAGCGUAGAAUGUUCCCUUAAUUUCUAGCGGAUGGAAAUGACAUCAAAUAAGUUCAUUAUGGACUCAAUUAGGGACUAAGUAUAUUGUGUUAAUAUGAGGUUAGAAACUAUGACAACUCCAUUUUGCUUCAAGGUGUCAAAAAAGAAAGAUCACCAUUUACUGGGGUCUUUGGACUUGAUGUAAUCUGUAGUGAAACAGAAUAUCUAGAAAAGGUGAGAUAUAUAGAAAAGAUGAACUGUGUGUCCAUAUGUCUGGCUAUGGAAGCUUGAGCUAAACGCUUUGAAGGUGGCGUGUAGGAAAGCCUAUAUCAGUAAUAAUAGCACAGAAGAAGGUAUUGGGGCAAUGUAUUGAGUUAACACAUUUAUUCUGUCUCAAUUUAUUUAAAAGGGCAUGCCCACUGAAGUCUACUCAGUGUAAACAACCCUACCCAUUCCUCUUAUUACUAUUGGAAUUCCUUAGUUCUGAAGGGCUCUUUGUUCACACACAACAUUCUUUAUGGCAGUCUAAAUUGGUUUUUAUCAUUUGCUUAGAUUCUGCUGAUUAAGGAAAUUGUGCAACUUCAUAAAAGAUGAAGAUUCUUUUUCCAUUAAAGAUGUAUUAUAUGGAGAACAGAGGGAAUGAAUAUGAUCAAGUGUAUCUCAUGCCUAUAAAUCCUUUUUCUGUAAUAAGAUAAAUAACUAUAUAUAUUUUUGUUUUCAUGGUUGCCAAGUCUGAUGAGUAAAUUCAUGGUGAUGUCACUUAUUGACUUAUUUACUUUUUAAGUGCUAUGUGAGAAAAACCUCCUAUUAGCAGAUUUAGCCAGUUCUGUUGCUAACACGAGGCAAAAUCCAGUUUUUAAAAUUCCAGCUCCACAUGAUUCUACACAGUGGUGGUUAAAUAUGCCAUGAUGGCUUUCAGAUAGCGCCUUAGGAUGGUGCUGGACUGAAAUGAGCUUAAUUUCCUCUUGGCGUUUACCUUCUAAUUGUUUAACAGUUCAUCGGUAAUAUUCUUUUCAAAUAGUAGGGUUUCUAGAAGACAGCGCAUAGCUCAGUGUAGACUGGUACUGGGAUAUUUCAGUUAAAAUAUUUCUGAAAUAUUUGGAAACUGAGAAAAUAGUGUAAGAGAUUCAGCAUAAAAUGAGAAAGUAACAACAAAUAUCAAAUGCAUCAAAUUAAUAAUGAAAUUACAAAAUUGUUUAGAUAAAAAUGAAUUUGCUGAAAUAUAAAAUUACCCAUUCCUUUUCCUGUUAUGAUGUUUGAAAGUCGGGAAAUAUUGCCUGCUUUGGUUUAAAUCUGCAAUGAAAAAUCAAACUUUGUCACUAAUGUAGUUGUACCAUUUUCAGGAUUAAUGGAGUUUUGGUUUUCAAGAGAGUACCAAUUAUUGAGAUCUGCAAGGACCUGAAAUGGCCAUGACUUUCCUGUCUGUUCUUUAACAUUAUUGACUUUACACUUGUCUCUGAGCUUCUCUUCUGAGUACUUUCAGAGUACCUUAUAGUUGUCAACUCAGGGCAGACUUCAUAUCCCCAAACCUUGCCUUGAAUAAAGUAGGUCUGGAUCCUUCAGGUUAGACAAUUGGUUCUCAUGAUCUUAAAAGAUGUCUGGAAGAAGAUGACUCCUCAAGGUCAGGAUAGGGAAAAAUCCUUAUGUUUCCAUAGUCUUUAAACUUAUAUACAAGAAAGAUAAGACCCAUUUGAGAAUAUGUCAUUAAUAGAUGCUGUGUACCGGGCAUACUAUAUGCCCAUUUUGUUCUACAAAUAACAUUGUGAGGUGAGUGUUUUAUAGAAGAGGAGACUAAUGCUCAGAGUGGUUAAGUGCACUCCUCAUGGUUUCACAGCCAGAAAGUUAGCAGAAUUGGUAUCACACCCAAACUGAGCCGAGUCCAAGACCUGUGUAUAUUUCCAUGCUACCUCUGUUUGUGAUGUGAGGAGGUAUGCAAAUUAGUUUAGUAAAUGCCUGGGAGGUAAUGAUGCAUAUUAUAAAAAUAAAACAAGCUUACUCUCUGGAGGCUAGAUUGACCGUGAAUGUGUGUGCCCCAUCAAAGGCCUUGUUAAAUAAAAGUAUGGGUUUGUAUUUAUGUGUGAAGAAGAUCCUCAGAGACCAACACAUCUGCCAGCCAGGCCUUGCUUCCUGAGUUAACGCUGAUUCCAUUCUGAGGCAGGGACUGGUACCGUAAUGUGACAGUCUGACACUCAGAUUGUGUUUCAUUCUAGAAAAUGUGGCCUAAUUUGUCUAAUCCUUCCUAACUUGUUUCUGUAGAGUGACUUCAGGCUUGACAGACACCAAUGCUUUGGAAUGCCACUGUGAAGAGCUCUUUUCUUCAGACUUUUCAUCUACCGAAAUGUUGAUUAUUCUAAUCAUGCAAUUGCACAGUAGAAAAUCUUCUACAGAGAUGAAUAGAACUGUUUAGGCAUAGACACGCUUUUUUUGUUUUUUUUUUUAAAUCUGAGACAAAGACGGAGAUAGUUCCAAAAAAGAAGUUGACUUACUGGUUCACCCUCCGGUAAUCUCCCGGUCAGCAUCUAGCUCUGCCAUGCGGACUAAGAGCGCAAUUCAUCUUGUUGAUGCGAGUCCUACUUUGAAACUUGUGCUUGUACUUGGAGAUGAGCCUUAUUGGUCAGAUAGCAAUUUGGUUAAAUGAAUUUAAUCUGUUUCUCACUCUAUAAGCCUUACCUAAUUUCAUUCUCCACAGAGAGGGAAUUCUGGUAGGGGCACUUCUGUAGCCUCACCAAAGUGUCUGGCAGGAGAAAUUUCCAUCUCUAGAUUGAGGAAGAAGCUCAAAAGGACAAAGGCCAGUUAUGUUCAGAAGAGAUUAAUGACUACGCACUUGCUAUCAUGGAGAACAAAUUCCAUUCCUGAAUGCAAAGCAAGAUCCCAAACUGGGUGCCUAGUGCCUCAGUACACUGCAGUAAAUUCACAGGGGUGUGGCAGGAUAUUUUAAAUGUUUGAAGGAAACAGCAACACUCAACAUCUGUUGGAUACUGCAUGAACUAGUGGAUCAAGGUAGUUCACAGUUUUGACUUUACAUUGAACUGUAUUCUUUUUAAUUAUGUCAUAUCUUGCUGUGAUAAAAAAUAAGUACCUAGGGAAAAUCAAUGUGUAGCAGUGUUGGAGGGGGUCAUUGAGAGGACGUCACCACCAGUUGACCCACGAGCUGGACAGUGCAUUUGGAGGCUCCUCACCCCCUUCCCUGUCCAUGGAGUGUACAUUCCGCACCACAUUCCCACUCUGGGAGCUGUUUCAAGAUGUGACCUUGAGAGAGUACGGUGUUGUUGAGGCCAUUUGGACCAUACACGUGAGUGAACCCAGUGACGGCCACUAUAUAAACUGUUACGAUUCUAGUGUGUGCAAGUGAAGAUCUGCUAAUCUUGCAGCCACCCAAGACAAGGGCAAGUUUCUUCGCUUAUUUUUAAUUUUUUUUUUUAGGAAGAUUAGCCCUGAGCUAACUACUGCCAAUCCUCCUCUUUUUGCUGAGGAAGACUGGCCCUGAGCUAACAUCCACACCCAUCUUCCUCUACUUUAUAUGUGGGACGCCUACCACAGCAUGGCUUUUGCCAAGUGGUGCCACGUCCACACCCAGGAUCCCAACCAGUGCACCCUGGGCUGCGAGAAGUGGAACGUGUGAACUUAACCGCUGCGCCACCGGGCCAGCCCCUCUUUGCUUAUUGAUCUGGAGUGGUCCGCCUCUUUCUUCAGUCUCUCCUUGCCCUCCAUGUACUGAUUAACAAGCCGGUUUGCAAACUAACAAGCAGCAAAUGAGGGUGGUAGAGUCUGAACUGAUUUCAAAGUUUAAGAAGCUAUGUAAUGCCCAUGAAAUGCACACACCACUUUGGUAAAUGUGAAAAUACCUUUUUCUUUCAAGUUAUAUGUAUUAUUUGUUCCAGCGUCUACUAAAAUGUUAGAACAUAAAUAUUUGUUGUCAUUUGUAUUCUAACCUGAAUAAAUGGAAUGGUUAGAUAUUUCCUUCAGUCUAGGGGUGCCAUUAAACUACUGAGACAAGAGGGAUGCUGUGAAUUAAGUAAGUCUGGGGUCCUUUGAUCUAUGCCAACAACGUAGUGAUAGAUGGGAUCAUAAUAGCUUAUGGAGGAAAAAUAGUUUUGCGGUUUGGGUUCUUAACCAUUUUUUUAAUAAGAUUAGAAAAUUUAUUUCAAUAUUCUUAUCAAAGACCAAAUUGGGAAAUUAUACUAGACUUCUCUUUAACUGCUAUUUAGUCUGUUAUGAAGAGUGAUGCAAUAAACAUUCAAAAUAAUGUGGAAUAAAUGAACAAAAGUGUAUGAAUUAUGCUUAACUACAAAAUAAUUGUUUCAAAUAAUCAGAUUCGUUUCAAUUGCCAUUAGAUUAGAUUUUAUCAUCAGAAUAUUUCAAAAAAUUUAGGACAUUGUCCAAGUAACUGAGUUCAAACAAGCAAACAACCUGUAUUCUCCUAUAUGUCAAUAGCAUAUUAUUUUGGUGGUGGAGAAAAAAGUACCUGGUAUAUGUCGUCACCUUAUGCUAAGAGGUGAUAACUUGUGUCUAUGUUUCCAUUCUGAUUUCCAGUUCUAAUUCCAGCUGCUCCUGUCAAAGAGGGAACAAUAUGAAAAUAAUCAUUGAAAUAAAAUGCACACAGGGGAUCAAAAUGCAAAUUACUCAGAAAGAUGUAAAAUAAAAGGGAAAAUUUUCCUCCCCAGAACCUGUUGCAUUCUACCCCAAAGUAUACUCCAUUAAUAAUUUUUUGUUUUUAGACUCUGAGAUGGCCCAGUGAUCUCCAGCUCCUGACAUUCAGGUGCUUGUGUACUCUCCACGCUCUUGAGUGUGGGCAGCAUCUGUGACUUCCUUCUAAACAAUAGAAUGUGUCAAAGGUGAUGGGAUGUCACUUUUGUGAUAGUUACUUAAGUUUAUAACUUCUGUCUUGCUCACAGAUUCAACAGAUUCUUUCACUUGCUGGCUUUGAUGGAGUAAGCUGUCAUAUGGAGAGUCCCAUGUGGAAGGAAUUAAGGGUCACCACUUGCCAACAGUGAGCAAGGAACUGAGGCCCUCAUUCAGAAAAACUGCAAGGACCUGAAUCCUGCCAACAGCCAUGGGAACUUGGAAAUGCAUCCUUCCCCAGCUACAAGCCGUUUCCUCUGACUCCAGUGCAUGUUCAUCUCCUCCUCGGUUUCCUGUCAUUGAGGCAACUGAUGCUGUUUCAUGAGAUCUCAGGCCAAUCCUACUCCUCCUGGGAAGCCCUCUCUGAUGUCACCGACCAGAUAGAGUCCCUCUAUUUUACACUCUCACAGGGCUCUCAGGAGGCUGAGCCCAUGUUGUCACUCAGAGACCCAGGUUUCAGCACCAUCUGGCUGCCCCAUCUGGAACCCUCAGCCUAAUUAGUUCCUCAGUACCCAUCGUGGGGAAGAGAGAGGACUAUAGAAUUUCACGUGAGGUUCAUUGUCUUGGAUUGGAAGCCGCACCUGUUGAUGUCACUACAGCUUCACUGGCAAGAAAUAGUUGCAUGACUUCACCUAAUCGCGGAGAGGCUAGGAAAUGGGAGGGAACAAUGGAAUAUUUGGUGAGUAAGUCUGCCAUAAAAUUCUCUUUCUAUGCAUCAGCACCAGCAGACUACCUUUAAGGACAUGGAUGAGGCAGAUGGUUUGAGAUAGGUAGGAACUGGAGCAUUAGUGUUUUGUAAGUUUAAUGCUAAGAUGGGCAUGUUAUUAUAACAUUUGGAAAUUUUGUUAAAGACAAGUAGAGGACUGAUUGCGAACUUACAAGUUUAAAUCCCAGAAAUGGAUUUGUCAUAGAACAUUAUGGCAAAGAUGUCUCACCUUUUAUAAUAUAAAUUACUCUGUUUUUCUUAAGGUGAAGGCCUGUAGAUAUUUUAUUUUGAUCCAUUCAUAAUGGAAAUGGGUCUUAAGAUCUCAUCAUUACUUAUGUUCAUUUUAUCUAUUUAAAUUUAAAUCACCUCACUUCAAGUAUUAAUGUAUAAUUUUUUUUCUACACAUGUCAUUGCUGCUGUAAUUUCGUUAAUCCUUCUGGUUAUGGAGUAAUUAACGUGGGCCAUUUACCUUUCAAAAAUGUCUGUUCACCAUUAUGUCACAAGUUGAAAGUGCUUUAAGAAAACUGAAGCCCAGAGGUAUCAGGUGACUUGUCCUAUGUUUAAUAAUUUUCUACUUUGUAACAACAGACACUCUUCUAGCAGUUAAUGGACUGAGAUUGGUGGGUGCAGACAUUAGUAAGGAAUGGUCUUGACACUUGCGGAUUUCAUUUUAUCGCAGCGGCUCCCAAACUUCACUCUUUAUAACAACCCCUUGGGCUGCUUGUGAGAAACGUAGUUUCAUUGGUUUCCCGCAGGGCUUUGGGUUCAGUGCGUGUGGGGGAGGGAUCUACAUUUUGACAAGCAUGUUCCACGUGACUAUGAUGCAGGUGACGUACCAACUUUUGGCUUAAUGCUGGUUUACUAAAUCACACACACCAGUCUUAUUCUCUCUCCUACUGUUCUAUUCUACUGAGGGGAAAAUUUGGAGGAAUUUAUCACAUAGAAAUAUUUCUUUCUGUGUCAGAGCUCUUACAGGUUGGGUUCUUACAGUUGCAAACAAUAUAAAUUAACUCUGGCUGUUUGAAGCAGGAAAGAAAUUUAUUAAAGGGAAUUGAAUAGCUCCGAGUCCUCGGGGAGGGCUGGAGAACCAGGCACAGAGACUAAGCAAGGGAAUGAUGCCUAAAGUCUACUUCAGUGUUGCUCCAGAGGAUAAACCAUUGUCGCAUGCCUAGGCACGGAUCUGUAGCUCAUCCAGAUGAUACUCUCAACUCUGAGUGCUAGAAGCUACUGCUAGAAUCUCUACUCCAGCUGCCCCAGCCAGGUCUAGAAACUGCAUGUAGCUGCUGUUGCUCUCCCUAGGAAGGAUUACAUGCGGGGCCUGCUUUACUGGGUUGACUCCAAGACCAGCCUGUCUCAUCUGAUUGGCAGAGCUUGAUCACAGUCUGCACCCAGCUCCAGGGCAGGUCAGGAAAGGAAUAUCUGGCUUCUGCAGUGGGAGGUGUUCUCUGCCUGCCACCAAGAAUCAUGAGGUAAUGAUGCUCAAAGAUACUAUGUUGCCAAAAAGAACAACAGAAGAUCUACACCACAUUUAUCCUAUUUGAAUUUAGGAACACAGACAACUUUCUUGUCCUACAUUGCUGAUUGUUAGUUUAUGGUGUUGAAUUAAUGGUCCUAUGAUUGAAAAUGAGUUUUUAUUGCAUGCAAAUUUCAGCAUAUAAUUUAUAAAGAACUAUUUUAAAAGAGAUGUUUAGUUUUAUAUCCUUCUGACUUAGGAAUAUUUCAUUUCAAGAAUAACUCUAAUAUCCAUGUUGGUUGAAAAAACAAUUCUCUCUCUUCUACCUCAGGGAAAAUUUGGUAAAGAAAGGAAACCUUUUCUGAGAAUUUUGUGGGAGAAAUUAGUGUGAAACAGGAGAAAAAAAUGUCUCCUUCCAGAGAAGACAUACUAUUGAGCUACAAAAGAUUUUCUAUCGUGAGAGAGAACUUGGCUGACUCAGGGUGUACAUAGUGAUUUUCCCAAUGUGUUCCUUGCAUCAGAGCAUGUGAGAGGCUUUGAUUCCUUUGGACAGGAUGUGCUCCACAGAUAGGUUUUAUUCUUUGCCCUUAAGGUUUUUUAUUGCUAGGCAAUGAAAUAAGAAGUGUACUGGGGGAAGAAAUCCUCAAUGUGGUAGCUUUAAAACAGGAAAAAUGGAGCAAUCAGUAAAAAAUGCUUUACUUAUUCAUUUGGCAAAUAUUUAUUGAGUGUCUACUCUAGAAAAAUGUUUAUCACAUGUUUACUACCCUCAAGAAGAAGCUCACAAACAAGUGGGAACCCAGCAAUAAUUGGAUUGUAAAAAUACAUACAAGAUGAAAACAUGGGGUGCUAUGAGAGUAGAGAUAAGGCAUAUUUAACUUAAAAUGGGAGGUGACAAAGCUGGCUUUAUAGAAUCAAUAAUUCUUCUGAGUAUCAUAAAGGCUGAGAAUGAGUUAGCCAGCAGAUGGUGGGUAUGGGAUGUAUUACAGAGAAUAGCAUGCGCCAGAGGCAGGCAUGGCUGUAGCACAACAUGGCACGGAUGCGUGAAAAGACAUUUAGGGAAACUGGAAGAAGAAGAGACCAUGAUAUGGGACUAGCAGAGCUAAGACUCAAGGGACAGGUCAACUGGGGCCAACUCCGUUGUCCUGAGGACAACGGAGAACCACUGAAGUAGUUAAGUUAGAUAUGUUAGUGAUCUGUUUGAAGGCCGAGAAAUGGGAUGAUGGAUGAUGAGGGUGGGAAUGAGUUUUUAGAAUGUUUCAGUAAUCCCAUCGGGAAAAGAUAAGGCCAUAAAUUAAAGUUAGAGAAAAUGGGAUGGAUUCCAAAGAUACUUAUAUAGAGAAUUGAUGAAGCAUAAACACUAAUCGCAUGUAGGGAGUCCAGGAAAGGGUUUAGUCAAAGAUAAUUCCCAGACACGUAAUUUGAACAACUAAAUGGGUAGUGUUGCCACUCUUCAAGACAGAGUAUGUCUUUGGGAGAAAGAAAUUGAAUUUCGCUUUGGGUGUGUAUUGAGGAGGACAUCCAAAGGGAGAUGUACCCUUGGUACAGGUGGCUAUAUGGGAAUGGAGAUCAAGAGAAAGGUCAAGCCAGAGGUAUGGAUUUCUCAGGUUUUAGGUUGUAGUUGAAGCCACUGGUGAAGGUAAGGCUGCGCAGUGAGAUUGUGAGAAAGAGGGCAAAGAAUGGAAUCCUGAGAUUACCAGCGCAUGAAGAGAAGAUUGAGGUGCAGGCCGUGAAGGAAACUUGCAGCAUCACUGUAGGGAGGAACGCUUAUCAUCUUCCCCAUCAGCUCCCUUUGCCUCCACACUCAUUCUCCCAGGUAAGUCAGCCUAAUCCCUAACCCACUUUCUCUAAUUUUGAGAUCUGCUUCACUGCAUAAAGGGACUGUUUCUGUUUGCUCUCUGCCUUAGGGUAAGAGGCUUGUCUCUGUGGAACAUCCUGAGGCUGUCCAGCUGGGCUGGAGCCUUAUGAGUGAACAUGUUCAUUCAAAGUGAACUAUUAAUAGACCUCCUUGACUGCAUUUCUGAUCAGUGAUUCUCAACUGGGGGAGAUUUUGCACCCCCCCCCCCCCCCCCCCACCGAGGGACA